rnacentral:rRNA from 1 species
CCUACGGGGGGCAGCAGUGAGGAAUAUUGGUCAAUGGACGAGAGUCUGAACCAGCCAAGUAGCGUGAAGGAUGACUGCCCUAUGGGUUGUAAACUUCUUUUAUAUGGGAAUAAAAUGUUCCACGUGUGGGAUUUUGUAUGUACCAUAUGAAUAAGGAUCGGCUAACUCCGUGCCAGCAGCCGCGGUAAUACGGAGGAUCCGAGCGUUAUCCGGAUUUAUUGGGUUUAAAGGGAGCGUAGGUGGAUUGUUAAGUCAGUUGUGAAAGUUUGCGGCUCAACCGUAAAAUUGCAGUUGAAACUGGCAGUCUUGAGUACAGUAGAGGUGGGCGGAAUUCGUGGUGUAGCGGUGAAAUGCUUAGAUAUCACGAAGAACUCCGAUUGCGAAGGCAGCUCACUGGACUGCAACUGACACUGAGGCACGAAAGCGUGGGUAUCGAACAGGAUUAGAUACCCUAGUAGUC